GCUCCAGUGGCACAAUCGGUCAGUGUGCAGUACUUAUAGUGCUGAGGUUGUGAGUUCAAGCCUCACCUGGAGCA